rnacentral:rRNA from 1 species
GACACCUCAGGUCAGGCGGGGCUACCCGCUGAGUUUAAGCAUAUCAAUAA